rfam:Callithrix jacchus chromosome 7, whole genome shotgun sequence
CUCUCUCCCCUGCAGCCACAGCCUGGAAACAGGAUCUUCCCACCCUGUUUCCAGGUUGUGGCUGCAGGGGAGAGAG